GCAGCCAGAGAGGCGACACACUAGAUCAGAAAGCACCACUGUUGGGUCAACGUUGUUCACCCCCGGAGAACCAGAGGCAAACACUCAGCCCGAGAGAUGAAACCCGAGGACCCACGAUCCGUAGGUGGUCCACCAGGAGAAGCCCCCAUGCAAGAGAGGGGCCCACCCUCCAGUUUGCCACCCAAAGAGCCACAUCAGUCCCACAAUAUAAAGCUGGCAGUGGAGUUGGCAGAAGAAGAGACCACCCAGGCAGCAGACCCACGCACCCUGAGCGGAGAAUAGACCCCUAUACGCCCCCCCCAUAAUUUGCACGCACAAAAAGACUGCCAGUUUCCUAAGGAGCCCAGCAUACAGAGCCAUCAAAACAAAGGCCCUAUCCACUGGUCCCCCAGGGAGGCAUCCUCCAAAGCCCUAGAUGAGUGUAUAUGACUAAUUCCAUCAAAACUGAGGACAUCUCUGGGAGGGCCGGUGGGUGAGACCACUUCCCAGUAGCUGCCCAGUCCCUCGAUCAGUAGGAUGCUCCUCACAAAUCUACAGUAAGUGGAUGAGUGUGGAGUAACAUAGUUGGGAAGCAAGGUACUAGGGUUCGCAGAGUCAGGUUCCCGUCAAGCUUUGCUACCCAUCCCACUAUGCCCUGCCACCCCCCAGUUGUGAACAAACGAGCUAGACCCAGGGGCCAAGGUACUACUACCUGGGCACCACAACCAGCACAUCCAGAACCCCCUUCCCUCCUCUGUGACACUUUAACAUUCUCUCACUCACGCAUGCUUAUGCUCACAUACUGUGUGGCUGUGCGGGGAGGCCCAACCCUGGCCCAGGGCUCAAUGAAGACCACAACCCAGGUAGCCCCUGCAUGGCCCUAAGAUGGACAUUUGGCGUGGAUUGGCUCCAGCAUCUCAGUGAGACUGGAAGAAGAUGGGUUAGGGGAAUAAAUGGAUUUAGUAAAACAAUUAGUUCUGCUUACCCUAAAGACCUCUAUGGUGCUAAUGUGCUAAUGUGGUGAUUCCUCUCCACAGUUUCUGUCAAAAUAUGUUUAAAAUGUUUUUAAUGAAAAUGUAGGAUUUGUUAGGUUUUCUUAUAGGUAGCGGUUAAGACUUAUACCUAACUUCAUUUAGCCUUGAGACAAGUUUUUACUGUUAAAACUGAACUGAACUGGAAUGAAGUGUUAAAACCUUGUACAGUACAUUAGAUAAUUAGUUCUGAAACUGCCCUUAUCACUUCAUAAUCAAAUUACAAAUUAAUUACUGAACAAAAAAAAUUAAUAAAACUGAAUAUGGCUUUUGAAACACAUUGACUGUCACAUUCAUCAGACAUACUUUUUUCUUUCCGUGACGUACUACAUGCAGUCAGCCUGAUUAAACGUAGACAAACAAAGGGAAAAGCUGAUUUAAAUGAGUGUAGUGGCUUUAAAAUUACAUUGGUAACACGUUACUUUAAUAUGCACACUUUAAAUACUCACAUUUGAAAAUGACAUUAACAUCUGAUCAUGGAUUUACUAGCUGGAUGAAAACACCUGGUGUUUGCAGAAGACGAUCAGGUCUUCACAGAGGUGAGGAAAUGCCACGACAGUCAUAGCAAUAAUCAUAUCUGGCUGAUCUGUGGCUAGCAUCACACAUGCCGUAUCACUCUUGCCGUCACAAAAAGGGAAAAAGAGGGAUUCCCCAAUACUUUGUCAUGCUCUGGGGUAUUAAUAGCAGCAAAUCUGUUACUCAUCCAAUGAUAAAGCCUGGAGAAACUUCAGCUGUAUAUAACAGGUGACAGUUCCUGGAGGUUUAGAAAGUGAGCAUCACUGGCUGGACUCAAUCAAACUUGAACUAGAAACUUAAGAAUUCACGUUGUGAUCUAUAAGCUGUUGAGUAAAUCUGACCUGUACAUCAGCCAUGGUUGCACCACUUGCCUCUGGUUCCACGUGGAUCCUGCCUCUGCUGCUGCUGCAUUUCAUUUCUUUUCAACUGCUGUUCUCCUCUCCAAUGAACCAAAGAAACCAAACCAAAGAAAUGAUGCAUGAGUUUCAGAGGACCGUUUCGAUGGUUGAAGGUGAGGUGAAGGUAAGGCAGCUAAUCUGCUGACUAACAAUGAUGCGUUAUUAUAGUUAAUUUACUUAGGUUUGUCAAAAAAUCACCUGUGUGCCUGGUGAAACAUGUAUAUUAAAUGUCACAUCUGAAUCUAAGGUAAUCACUAGUAAUUAGUACUCAUGCCUGUGUAGGAAAGAGUCUGCCAUAUGGAGGCUGCACCUUAUUGCUGCCACGUUGUUUGACACUGACACUGCUGAAUUUUUGUUUUGUGAUCUGGUUUGACAGAACUGUCCAGAGAGCUGCCAUACCGCCCACAGAGAGACUGGAAGAUGCUCAUGCUUUAAUUUCAGUGUCUCACCACAGGAAUGUGAAUUUCCUGAGUACUUCAUCAAAGGCCUGAGCUCCAUGCACAACAGUACUACCAGUCUGUUUGACAUCAAGUUGCUGAUCAAAAUGAUCAACGUCACAGCUCGACAUAUUAACGU